rnacentral:rRNA from 1 species
GGGUUGUGAGGUUAAGCGACUAAGCGUACACGGUGGAUGCCCUGGCAGUCAGAGGCGAUGAAGGACGUGCUAAUCUGCGAAAAGCGCCGGCGAGGUGAUAUGAACCUUUGACCCGGCGAUGUCCGAAUGGGGAAACCCAGUGUGUUCCGACACACUAUCGUUAACUGAAUACAUAGGUUAACGAGGCGAACCGGGGGAACUGAAACAUCUAAGUACCCCGAGGAAAAGAAAUCAACCGAGAUUCCCCCAGUAGCGGCGAGCGAACGGGGAGCAGCCCAGAGUCUGAAUCAGCUUGUGUGUUAGUGGAAGCGUCUGGAAAGUCGCACGGUACAGGGUGACAGUCCCGUACACGAAAGCACACAGGCUGUGAACUCGAAGAGUAGGGCGGGACACGUGGUAUCCUGUCUGAAUAUGGGGGGACCAUCCUCCAAGGCUAAAUACUCCUGACUGACCGAUAGUGAACCAGUACCGUGAGGGAAAGGCGAAAAGAACCCCGGCGAGGGGAGUGAAAAAGAACCUGAAACCGUGUACGUACAAGCAGUGGGAGCCUCUUUUAUGGGGUGACUGCGUACCUUUUGUAUAAUGGGUCAGCGACUUAUAUUCUGUAGCAAGGUUAACCGUAUAGGGGAGCCGAAGGGAAACCGAGUCUUAACUGGGCGUUAAGUUGCAGGGUAUAGACCCGAAACCCGGUGAUCUAGCCAUGGGCAGGUUGAAGGUUGGGUAACACUAACUGGAGGACCGAACCGACUAAUGUUGAAAAAUUAGCGGAUGACUUGUGGCUGGGGGUGAAAGGCCAAUCAAACCGGGAGAUAGCUGGUUCUCCCCGAAAGCUAUUUAGGUAGCGCCUCGUGAACUCAUCUUCGGGGGUAGAGCACUGUUUCGGCUAGGGGGCCAUCCCGGCUUACCAACCCGAUGCAAACUACGAAUACCGAAGAAUGUUAUCACGGGAGACACACGGCGGGUGCUAACGUCCGUCGUGAAGAGGGAAACAACCCAGACCGCCAGCUAAGGUCCCAAAGUCAUGGUUAAGUGGGAAACGAUGUGGGAAGGCACAGACAGCCAGGAUGUUGGCUUAGAAGCAGCCAUCAUUUAAAGAAAGCGUAAUAGCUCACUGGUCGAGUCGGCCUGCGCGGAAGAUGUAACGGGGCUAAACCAUGCACCGAAGCUGCGGCAGCGACACUAUGUGUUGUUGGGUAGGGGAGCGUUCUGUAAGCCGUUGAAGGUGUCCUGUGAGGGGUGCUGGAGGUAUCAGAAGUGCGAAUGCUGACAUAAGUAACGAUAAAGCGGGUGAAAAGCCCGCUCGCCGGAAGACCAAGGGUUCCUGUCCAACGUUAAUCGGGGCAGGGUGAGUCGACCCCUAAGGCGAGGCCGAAAGGCGUAGUCGAUGGGAAACAGGUUAAUAUUCCUGUACUUGGUGUUACUGCGAAGGGGGGACGGAGAAGGCUAUGUUAGCCGGGCGACGGUUGUCCCGGUUUAAGCAUGUAGGCGGAACGAUUAGGUAAAUCCGGUCGUUUAUUAACGCUGAGGUGUGAUGACGAGGCACUACGGUGCUGAAGUAACAAAUGCCCUGCUUCCAGGAAAAGCCUCUAAGCAUCAGGUAACAUCAAAUCGUACCCCAAACCGACACAGGUGGUCAGGUAGAGAAUACCAAGGCGCUUGAGAGAACUCGGGUGAAGGAACUAGGCAAAAUGGUGCCGUAACUUCGGGAGAAGGCACGCUGAUAUGUAGGUGAAGCCCCUGCGGGUGGAGCUGAAAUCAGUCGAAGAUACCAGCUGGCUGCAACUGUUUAUUAAAAACACAGCACUGUGCAAACACGAAAGUGGACGUAUACGGUGUGACGCCUGCCCGGUGCCGGAAGGUUAAUUGAUGGGGUUAGCGGUAACGCGAAGCUCUUGAUCGAAGCCCCGGUAAACGGCGGCCGUAACUAUAACGGUCCUAAGGUAGCGAAAUUCCUUGUCGGGUAAGUUCCGACCUGCACGAAUGGCGUAAUGAUGGCCAGGCUGUCUCCACCCGAGACUCAGUGAAAUUGAACUCGCUGUGAAGAUGCAGUGUACCCGCGGCAAGACGGAAAGACCCCGUGAACCUUUACUAUAGCUUGACACUGAACACUGGUCCUUGAUGUGUAGGAUAGGUGGGAGGCUUUGAAGCGUGGACGCCAGUCUGCGUGGAGCCAACCUUGAAAUACCACCCUUUAAUGGCUGGUGUUCUAACGUAGACCCGUGAUCCGGGUUGCGGACAGUGUCUGGUGGGUAGUUUGACUGGGGCGGUCUCCUCCCAAAGAGUAACGGAGGAGCACGAAGGUUAGCUAAUCCUGGUCGGACAUCAGGAGGUUAGUGCAAUGGCAUAAGCUAGCUUGACUGCGAGAGUGACGGCUCGAGCAGGUGCGAAAGCAGGUCAUAGUGAUCCGGUGGUUCUGAAUGGAAGGGCCAUCGCUCAACGGAUAAAAGGUACUCCGGGGAUAACAGGCUGAUACCGCCCAAGAGUUCAUAUCGACGGCGGUGUUUGGCACCUCGAUGUCGGCUCAUCACAUCCUGGGGCUGAAGUAGGUCCCAAGGGUAUGGCUGUUCGCCAUUUAAAGUGGUACGCGAGCUGGGUUUAGAACGUCGUGAGACAGUUCGGUCCCUAUCUGCCGUGGGCGCUGGAGAAUUGAGGGGGGCUGCUCCUAGUACGAGAGGACCGGAGUGGACGCAUCACUGGUGUUCGGGUUGUCAUGCCAAUGGCACUGCCCGGUAGCUAAAUGCGGAAGAGAUAAGUGCUGAAAGCAUCUAAGCACGAAACUUGCCCCGAGAUGAGUUCUCCCUGAGACUUUAAGUCUCCUGAAGGAACGUUGAAGACUACGACGUUGAUAGGUCGGGUGUGUAAGCGCAGCGAUGCGUUGAGCUAACCGAUACUAAUGAACCGUGAGGCUUAACCUUACAACGCCGAAG